rnacentral:rRNA from 1 species
ACUUCGGGAGAAGGAGUGCCAGCUUAGAGAUAAGCUGGUCUCAGUAACAAGGGGACUCCGACUGUUUAAUAAAAACAUAGCCGACUGCUAGAUCGAAAGGUUGUGUAUAGUCGGUGAAUCCUGCUCAGUGCCGGUAUCUGAAAUCGGGUUUCAACCUGGCGAAGGACCGGUAAACAGCGGGGGUAACUAUGACCCUCUUAAGGUAGCGUAAUACCUUGUCGCUUAAUUGGCGACUUGCAUGAAUGGCACAACGAGAGUCCCACUGUCUCCGCGGUACGUCCGGCGAAAUUGACUAUUACUGGCGCACAGUCCAGUAACCUCAACCUGCAAGCGAAGACCCCGUAGAGCUUUACUGCAGCCUGGCGUUGUACAUUCGCACACUUUGUGCUGAGUAGACGGGAGAUGUUGAUCCUCGGGACGUUAGUCCCGGGAGUAGUCGUCCAUAGAGACACCGUCCUUGGAGUGUAAUUGUACUCACUCUUCAUGAGAACACCGCUUGGUGGGCAGUUUGGGUGGGGCGCCACGCGCCCGAAAACCUAACAGGCGUGCCCAAAGGUCAGCUUAGGUGGUUCAGUCUCCACCGUAAACCGUAAGGGGAAAAGCUGGCUUGACGUGGAUCGGAUCAAUAACGAUCGACGAUGCGAAAGCAGGGCCUAACGAACCAAUGUUCCUCAUUUCUGGGGGCCAUUGAUAACAGAAAAGUUACCUCGGGGAUAAUUGAGUUGUCACCAGCAAGAGCACAUAUCGACCUGGUGGCUUGCUACUUCGAUGUCGUCUCUUCCCAACCUCCCGGUGCAGCAGCUGGGAAGGGUGGGGUUGUUCGCCCAUUAAAGGGGAUCGUGAGAUGGGUUUAGACCGUCGUGAGACAGGUUUGUUGCUUUGUGGUUGAGGCGUAUCAGGUGCCUGAUCGGAAGGGCCCUUUAGUACGAGAGGAACGAGGGCUCGGAGCCACUAGUUUACCAGUUGUCCGGCAGGGCAAUGCUGGGUAGCCACGCUCUACGCGGAUAAGAGCUGAAAGCAUCUAAGCUCGAAGUCGCUCGAAAGACGAGGCACCUCAGGGGACUUGUAGAAGACGAGUUUGAUAGACAGCGGGUGUAAGUACCGAGGUCCGCCGAGGUAUUCAGCCCAGCUGCACUAACCCCCCGAGCAUCCAAUU